rnacentral:rRNA from 1 species
AUUGAACGCUGGCGGCAUGCUUUACACAUGCAAGUCGAACGGUAACAGGCCGCAAGGUGCUGACGAGUGGCGAACGGGUGAGUAAUGCAUCGGAACGUACCCAGUCGUGGGGGAUAACUACUCGAAAGAGUAGCUAAUACCGCAUACGAUCUAUGGAUGAAAGCGGGGGACCGUAAGGCCUCGCGCGAUUGGAGCGGCCGAUGUCAGAUUAGGUAGUUGGUGGGGUAAAGGCUCACCAAGCCAACGAUCUGUAGCUGGUCUGAGAGGACGACCAGCCACACUGGGACUGAGACACGGCCCAGACUCCUACGGGAGGCAGCAGUGGGGAAUUUUGGACAAUGGGCGCAAGCCUGAUCCAGCAAUGCCGCGUGCAGGAAGAAGGCCUUCGGGUUGUAAACUGCUUUUGUACGGAACGAAACGGCUCUGGUUAAUACCCGGGGCUAAUGACGGUACCGUAAGAAUAAGCACCGGCUAACUACGUG